rnacentral:rRNA from 1 species
UGCCUAAUACAUGCAAGUCGAGCGAAUGACGAAGAAGCUUGCUUCUUCUGACUUAGCGGCGGACGGGUGAGUAACACGUGGGCAACCUGCCCUGUAGAUUGGGAUAACUCCGGGAAACCGGGGCUAAUACCGAAUAAUCCAUUUCCUCACAUGGGGAGAUGUUAAAAGACGGUUUCGGCUGUCACUACAGGAUGGGCCCGCGGCGCAUUAGCUAGUUGGUGAGGUAACGGCUCACCAAGGCGACGAUGCGUAGCCGACCUGAGAGGGUGAUCGGCCACACUGGGACUGAGACACGGCCCAGACUCCUACGGGAGGCAGCAGUAGGGAAUCUUCCACAAUGGACGAAAGUCUGAUGGAGCAAUGCCGCGUGAGUGAAGAAGGUUUUCGGAUCGUAAAACUCUGUUGUGAGGGAAGAACACAGU